rnacentral:rRNA from 1 species
GACGAACGCUGGCGGCGUGCUUAACACAUGCAAGUCGAACGGAAAGGCCCUGCUUGCAGGGUCCUCGAGUGGCGAACGGGUGAGUAACACGUGGGUGAUCUGCCCUGCACUUCGGGAUAAGCCUGGGAAACUGGGUCUAAUACCGGAUAGGAGCCAUUUUUAGUGUGAUGGUUGGAAAGUUUUUUCGGUGUAGGAUGAGCUCGCGGCCUAUCAGCUUGUUGGUGGGGUAAUGGCCUACCAAGGCGGCGACGGGUAGCCGGCCUGAGAGGGUGGACGGCCACAUUGGGACUGAGAUACGGCCCAGACUCCUACGGGAGGCAGCAGUGGGGAAUAUUGCACAAUGGGCGCAAGCCUGAUGCAGCGACGCCGCGUGGGGGAUGACAGCCUUCGGGUUGUAAACUCCUUUCGCUAGGGACGAAGCUUUUGUGACGGUACCUAGAGAAGAAGCACCGGCUAACUACGUG